GAUGAAGAACGUAGCGAAAUGCGAUACUUGGUGUGAAUUGCAGAAUCCCGUGAACCAUCGAGUCUUUGAACGCAAGUUGCGCCUCAAGCCAUUAGGUUGAGGGCACGUCUGCCUGGGCGUCACAUAUCGUUGCCUGAUGCCAGUUUCCUCGUGAUGGGUGACUGUGCAGGGCGAAUGAUGGCUUCCCGUGAGCAUUGUUGCCUCAUGGUUGGUUGAAAAUUGAGUCCUUGGUAGGGAGCGCCGUGAUAGAUGGUGGUUGAGUGACGAACGAGACCCAAUCAUGUGAGACCCCUACCGAAUGUGGCCUUCAUGACCCACAUGCGUCUUUGGAACGCUCAUGACGAGACCUCAGGUCAGGCGGGGCUACCCGCUGAGUUUAAGCAUAUCAAUAAGCGGAGGA
rnacentral:misc_RNA from 1 species